rnacentral:rRNA from 1 species
GAUGAACGCUGGCGGCGUGCCUAAUACAUGCAAGUCGAGCGAACGGACGAGAAGCAUGCUUUUCUGAUGUUAGCGGCGGACGGGUGAGUAACACGUGGAUAACCUACCUAUUAGACUGGGAUAACUUCGGGAAACCGGAGCUAACACCGGAUAAUCUUUUGAACCGCAUGGUUCAAAAGUGAAAGACGGUCUUGCUGUCCCUUAUAGAUGGAUCCGCGCUGCAUUAGCUAGUUGGUAAGGUAACGGCUUACCAAGGCAACGAUGCAUAGCCGACCUGAGAGGGUGAUCGGCCACACUGGAACUGAGACACGGUCCAGACUCCUACGGGAGGCAGCAGUAGGGAAUCUUCCGCAAUGGGCGAAAGCCUGACGGAGCAACGCCGCGUGAGUGAUGAAGGUCUUCGGAUCGUAAAACUCUGUUAUUAGGGAAGAACAUAUGUGUAAGUAACUGUGCACAUCUUGACGGUACCUAAUCAGAAAGCCACGGCUAACUACGUG